GGUGGGGAUGACGUCAAAUCAGCACGGCCCUUAUGUCCAGGGCUACACACGUGUUACAAUGGCCGGUACAGAGGGCAGCUAUGCCGCGAGGCAAUGCGAAUCUCGAAAGCCGGUCUCAGUUCGGAUCGGAGUCUGCAACUCGACUCCGUGAAGCUGGAUUCGCUAGUAAUCGCGCAUCAGCCAUGGCGCGGUGAAUACGUUCCCGGGCCUUGUACACACCGCCCGUCAAGCCAUGGAAGUUGGGGGUACCUGAAGUCCGUAACCGCAAGGAGCGGCCUAGGAUAAAACCAGUGACUGGGGCU
rnacentral:rRNA from 1 species